GCAAACUUGGUCAUUUAGAGGAAGUAAAAGUCGUAACAAGGUCUCCGUUGGUGAACCAGCGGAGGGAUCAUUACAGAGUUAUCCAAACUCCAAACCCUAUGUGAACUUACCACUGUUGCCUUGGCGGAAGCCGCUGGCUACGCUGUAACUCCCCGGGAGAUAGCUACCCUGGAGCUACCCUGUAGCCGGCAUUAGGCCCGUCGAAGGACCACUAAACUCUUGUUUUUACCGUGUAUCUCUGAAUGCUUCAAACUUAAUAAGUUAAAACUUUCAACAACGGAUCUCUUGGUUCUGGCAUCGAUGAAGAACGCAGC
rnacentral:misc_RNA from 1 species